rnacentral:rRNA from 1 species
UGGGGAAUUUUGGACAAUGGGGGAAACCCUGAUCCAGCCAUCCCGCGUGUGCGAUGAAGGCCUUCGGGUUGUAAAGCACUUUUGGCAGGAAAGAAACGUCGCGGGUUAAUACCCCGCGAAACUGACGGUACCUGCAGAAUAAGCACCGGCUAACUACGUGCCAGCAGCCGCGGUAAUACGUAGGGUGCAAGCGUUAAUUGGAAUUACUGGGUGUAAAGCGUGCGCAGGCGGUUCGGAAAGAAAGAUGUGAAAUCCCAGAGCUUAACUUUGGAACUGCAUUUUUAACUACCGGGCUAGAGUGUGUCAGAGGGAGGUGGAAUUCCGCGUGUAGCAGUGAAAUGCGUAGAUAUGCGGAGGAACACCGAUGGCGAAGGCAGCCUCCUGGGAUAACACUGACGCUCAUGCACGAAAGCGUGGGGAGCAAACAGGAUUAGAUACCCUGGUAGUCCACGCCCCUAAAACGAUGUCAACUAGCUGUUGGGGGCCUUCGGGCCUUGGUAGCGCAGCUAACGCGUGAAGUUGACCGCCUGGGGAGUACGGUCGCAAGAUUAAAACUCAAAGGAAUUGACGGGGUCAUAGCUGUUUCCUG